CCGACAAAAGAUCUGGUGAUG
rnacentral:snRNA from 1 species